rnacentral:snRNA from 8 species
AUACUUACGUGGCAAGGGAGAUACCGUGAUCAAGAAGGCGGUUCACCCAGGGCGAGGCUCAGCCAUUGCACUCGGGCUGUGCUGACCCGUGCGAAUUUCCCAAAUGUGGAAAUCUCGAUUGCAUAAUUUAUGGUAGUGGGGGACUGCGUUCGCGCUCGCCCCUG